CUCAAAGGUUGGCUCAGCAUGGAUGGAAACCAUGCUAUAGAGUGCAAACGCAAAAGCCAGCCUGACUGCGAGACUGACGGGUCGAGCAGAAACGAAAGUUGGAGUUAGU
rnacentral:misc_RNA from 1 species